rnacentral:misc_RNA from 1 species
CAAAAAGUUCAAAGCUUUAGUUAAAAAGAAAAGUGGAUGUACAAGUAAGACUUUGAGGUCAGAUAAUGGCAAAGAAUAUACCUCUACUGAAUUUGAGAAAUUUUGUGAAGAGUUUAGAAUAGUUCACCAUUUGAUUGUAUUUUACUCACGAUAGCAAAAAGGUGUUUCAGAGAGGAAAAAUAUAACCAUUGUUGAAACUGCCAGGUGUAUGUUGAAGGAGAAAUCCAAAAGAGAUUUAGACUGAGGUUGUUUAUACAUUAACUUAUUUAUUGAACAAGCUAACCACAAGGUCGGUUAAUGGAAUGAAACUAAUAAAAACUUGGUUUGGAUCAAAAUAUUAAGCUAAACAUCUAAAAGUAUUUGGUUCAAUAGGUCAUAUGCAUGUUCUCAAUGUUAAAAGAAGUAAACUUGAUGAGAAGGUGGAGUUAGGCAUUUUCUUGCGGUAUGCAGCUCAAUACAAAGGUUACAGACUUUAUAUAGCGAAAAUGUAAAAAGUAGCAAAAACGUAAAGAUGUUCAAUUUGAUGAGGAUGCCCUUUGUAACUAGAAUGAGCAAAAGAUUAUGAAGAAGCAUGUCUUAAUUCAUAAGGCAAACUAUUUUAGCAAUAUACAUGGGAGGCUAGUUGAUGGAAAAUCAACAAGAACAAAAAAAUCCUAGGAAUGUUCGUGAGAUGA